rnacentral:tRNA from 1 species
UCCCUGGUGGUCCAGUGGUUAAGACUCUGUGAUCCCAAUGCAGGAUCCCAGGUUCAAUCCCUGGUUAGGGAA